GGGGCAGUAGUUUAGCGGUAAAACUUCAGCCUGUGGCCCUGACGUGGUUGGUUCAACUCCAACCUGCCCCU
rnacentral:tRNA from 1 species